GCCUGGUUAGCUCAGUCGGUAGAGUGUGAGAUUCUUAAUCUCAGGGUUGUGGGUUCAAGCCCCACGUUGGGCA